rnacentral:rRNA from 1 species
GAUGAACGCUAGCGGCAGGCCUAACACAUGCAAGUCGAACGGUAACAUGAGAGCUUGCUCUUGAUGACGAGUGGCGCACGGGUGCGUAACGCGUAUGCAACCUACCCUAUACAGGGGGAUAGCCCGGAGAAAUUCGGAUUAAUACCCCAUGGUAUUAUUGAUAGGCAUCUAUUAAUAAUUAAAGGUUACGGCAAAAGAUGAGUAUGCGUCCCAUUAGCUAGUUGGUGAAGUAACGGUUCACCAAGGCAACGAUGGGUAGGGGUCCUGAGAGGGAGAUCCCCCACACUGGUACUGAGACACGGACCAG